UACGGGGGGGGCAAGCGUUGUUCGGAAUUACUGGGCGUAAAGGGCUCGUAGGCGGCCAACUAAGUCAGACGUGAAAUCCCUCGGCUUAACCGGGGAACUGCGUCUGAUACUGGAUGGCUUGAGUUUGGGAGAGGGAUGCGGAAUUCCAGGUGUAGCGGUGAAAUGCGUAGAUAUCUGGAGGAACACCGGUGGCGAAGGCGGCUCUCUGGGCCUUACCUGACGCUGAGGAGCGAAAGCGUGGGUAGCGAACAGG
rnacentral:rRNA from 1 species